AGAGUCGAUUAAAGUGUAAUGCUGGAAAAAGCACGGUCGGUACUUUUUCCAGUGCCACACUUUAUCGACUCUUGAUUUCUCCAACAUCUGCAGUCCUCACUAUCUCCUAGUUGUAACAGGUAAUCAGGCAUGCAAGUGAUAGAUACUGGACCGUUAUUUCAAGGAGAUGUGAGCACAGGAGUCAGGAAGUCUUGCUGUAACUGUCUCUGAAGUACUGUGAGCAGUUCUCUUUAUUUCAGGACAGAUAUUUUUUUACCGGGGGGGUGCGGGGCAGUUCCGAGAAGGAUUAUUAGGACCAUCCCUGGUGUGGAUAAUUGUCCUGUGACUGUGCUGUACACCUCUGUAACUCUCUGACCGAAUAGGUGCUGUUUCCCCGCAUCGUCUCACAAACACAGAGGUCCCAAUUUAAGACUGAACCAACGAACUAACUAUUCUUUCAUAGUCACAAAGUCCGACAGCACGAAAACAGAUCCUUCGGUUUAACCAGUCCAGGCCGACCAUAUUCCCAAGCUAAACUUAGUCCCUCCUGACUUCUUCUGGCCCCUAUCCCUCCAAACCUUAUUUAUCCAAAUAUCUUUUAAAUGUUGUAACUGUGCCCGCAAUCCUCUACCUCCUCUGGAAGUUCAUUCCACACACAAACCACUCUCUGGGUAAAACAGAAUUGACCCCUCAUGUCUGUUUUAAAUCUUCCUUGGCGUACUUUAAAAAUAUGCCCUCUAGUUUUGAAAGGCCCCACUCAAAGGCCUUUCCCUUAUCUGUAUCCCACGUGAUUUUGCAAAACUCUUUAUCAGGUCACCCUUCAACCCCCUACGUUCCAGUGAAAGAAAACUCCUGGCCUCUCCUUCCAACUCAAACUCUCCAGGCCCGGAAGCAUCCUGAGUUUCACGGAUUAUUAGAAGACGGAGAUUUGGAGUCGGGAAAACUCGAACGUCUCUCGGCAGCUGGGCAGGAUCAGACUUGGAGAUGGCGGUGAACGGCGCUGCCCGCACUGAGGAGAAACCUGCAAAAGCACCAGCGGACCCACACGGACAAACAAACCUCUGCAAUGUUCCCCCCGCCCCAGUGCAGAAAAUUCCGCAAAGCUUCGUGGGAACUGAUGCCCUCACACGAGACUGUUUUGACUGCCCCAGUGGGUAGAGGCGAUCAGGAGAGAAUUUCCAAUUAGCGCACACUAUCAAGAAGCCAGCGGGUUCACAACAAGCUCGUAGAAUUAGAUUCUGCCAUUAGUCACAUAUAGGACUGAACUAUGGUUUAUUGGAGUUGGUGGUCUGCCGAUGUUAAGAAAAGUCUCAUGCUUAGUUACAGGGGGUUAAUAUUAUAGAUUAAACCCAAAUUAAUUAUCUUUAUUCCCCCCAGCAA